GGAAGCUACAUCUUAUCCCUGCUUCUCUCUCAUGACUGAAUCCACAGUUGCAGCCAGCAACUCCCAGACUGCAGAGACAGCCUAUAAAUCAGGUAAGUGAGGGAUAGGGGAGGCAGCCUACAGAUAAGGUAUGUGAGGGAUGGGGGGGCAGCCUACAGAUCAGGUAAGUGAGGCAUGGGGGGGAGAGACAACCUAUAGAUCAGGUAAGUGAGGC